rnacentral:rRNA from 1 species
UACGAAGGGGGCUAGCGUUGCUCGGAAUCACUGGGCGUAAAGCGCACGUAGGCGGCUUUUUGAGUCAGGGGUGAAAUCCUGGAGCUCAACUCCAGAACUGCCUUUGAUACUGAGAAGCUUGAGUCCGGGAGAGGUGAGUGGAACUGCGAGUGUAGAGGUGAAAUUCGUAGAUAUUCGCAAGAACACCAGUGGCGAAGGCGGCUCACUGGCCCGGUACUGACGCUGAGGUGCGAAAGCGUGGGGAGCAAACAGG